GAAGAGAAGCUUUCUGACCCAAUAAGAAAAGGAGACGUGUUUUGAAAAUCCUAUCUGGAAAACAGUGAAGCUGUAUUUUACAGAUCAGUAAGAAAAAAGUAGCACACCUGCUUUUCCAAAUGUAACGCAUGGAAAGAAGAAUCUCACCCCACAUCCAAAGUUACCUGAACAAGUCCUCGCCACAUCCAACCCUGGAACCGGGAAGUAAAAGCAUGCUGAAGUCUUCUGCCUCACUCAGAACCAAAAAUAAAUCAUAGGACAUCCAUCAGCUCUGAAUAACUUAAGAGUAAACAACUAUUACGUGUGCCAGAAUGAGCAGACUGUAUAAAGACGGACGAAUAUAUCCUGAAGCGUUUGUCUGUUGACUCUCCUGAACCCUUUAAUCAGAGAGCUUUGGCUUUCCUUUAACACUGAGAAACCAAACAGCACUGUGAACUCUUAACC
ensembl:lncRNA